CCUACGGGCGGCUGCAGUGGGGAAUAUUGGACAAUGGGGGCAACCCUGAUCCAGCCAUGCCGCGUGUGUGAAGAAGGCCCUCGGGUUGUAAAGCACUUUCAGUGAGGAAGAACGCCUGGUGGUUAAUACCCAUCAGGAAAGACAUCACUCACAGAAGAAGCACCGGCUAACUCCGGGCCAGCAGCCGCGGUAAUACGGAGGGUGCGAGCGUUAAUCGGAAUUACUGGGCGUAAAGCGCGCGUAGGUGGCUUGAUAAGCCGGUUGUGAAAGCCCCGGGCUCAAACUGGGAACGGCAUCCGGAGCUGUCAAGCUAGAGUGCAGGAGAGGAAGGUAGAAUUCCCGGUGUGGCGGUGAAAUGCGUAGAGAUCGGGAGGAAUACCAGUGGCGAAGGCGGCCUUCUGGACUGACACUGCCACUGAGGUGCGAAAGCGUGGGUAGCAAACAGGAUUAGAUACCCCGGUAGUA
rnacentral:rRNA from 1 species